AUGAGCUCACUGGUUCUACUGCUGGCCACCCUGGGGCUCCUGGUUCAGGGUUCAUCAGGACAAAUCACCCUGACUCAGUCUCCUGAAUCUCAGUCUGUUGUUCCAGGACAGACUGUCUCCAUCAGAUGCAAAACCAGUUCAGAUGUUAGUAGCUGGCUCCACUGGUACCUUCAGAAACCUGGAGAAGCUCCUAAACUCCUGAUUAAUUCUGCUACAAGCCGUCAAUCUGGAGUUCCAGGUCGUUUCAGUGGAAGUGGAUCUGGGACUGACUUCACUCUGACCAUCAGUGGAGUUCAGGCUGAAGAUUCAGGAGUUUACUACUGUCAGCAGAGUUACAGCAGCCCGUUCACACAGUGAUACAACGUC